AACGGUCGCGCGGUAUGUUGCCGAAAGGUAUUACCGUGAGGAAAGUCCGGGCUUCAUAGGACAAGGAUAGCUGAUAACGUCAGCCGUGGGUAACCACCGGGAAAGUGCAACAGAAAGAAACCGCCGCUCUGCGGUAAGGAUGGAAAGGCGAGGUAAGAGCUCACCCGUUCGUAUGGUAACAUACGUCCGCUGUAAACCCUAUCCGAAGCAACACCCCAUGGAAUGCUUUGUCCGGCAUAUAUUCCGAGGUGGCACGAAAGAAAUUUCGGAGCGUACCGGCGACGGUGCGCACAGAUUGAUGACCGUUCCCGACAGAACCCGGCUUACAGGCA
rnacentral:RNase_P_RNA from 1 species